AGAAAUCAUUCAGUUUCAGCUGUUUUUUUUUUCCUGCAGACCUCCCCCUCCCCUAUAGCAGCAGACCGGGGCUCGCAGAUGACUGAACUCUGCAGCCAAACCCUAAUUGUGUGUUCGUGUGUCUGCAUUUUUUUCCCCCCACUUGACAUGAAGAAGGAAGCUUCAGCGAGCAUUUGUUCUCUCAGGGUGUAAAUGGAAGUUGUGGACCUUUGGAGUGGAUUUGUUUGACUGAAAAAAAGAAAGUGGAAGGGACUGAAUCUAGCUGGGAGAAAUUACUAUAGUUUGGUUGCCAUGUGGCGCUGCUGGAUGAACUUCAUCUUGGCCUGGGUAUCCAUGGCAACCCCGACACUCUGCCAAAGUGGAGACGGUGAUUGGGGUUCAGGAUUUGACAUCUCCUCCACAAUAAUGGCCACCAAUGACACGUUGCAGGCGGUCGGUGACGAGCCGGUAAAAACCAGCCGUGACUGGACCCCAUUAGCUCCGUCGCCGUCGCCCGUCCUCCACUUUGAGCCCCAACCGGACAAGUGCUCCGUCUAUUUCAACACUAACGCAGCGUCAGCUCGGAGGCUGAAGGCCCAGAGGGAGGAGCUGGACUACCUGAGGGCCAUACAGCACGGAAACAAGGCGGUGAUGGAGAACCUGGUGCAGUAUGUGGGGGCGGAGCUAGGCGACCAGAGCUACGAAGACGUGAUCAAGGAAAACGUCAUGGGAACCCAAGAGGACCACAAGAGCUGCCAUGAGGUGGUGGAGAAGGCUGAGGAAGAUCUGGAGAAGCAGCUGGAGGGGGAUGUGCUGUCCUCCCUCGCUGGGAUGCAGAAAAUCAGAGAAGAGUCCUUGGCCUUUGAUGACAUGCUUCGUGCUGCAGCCGACAUCGCCAGCCGGCUGGAGAGCUCAUCACAGGCGCUGCAUGCUUCAUUCACCAAGCAGCUGAAAGACAUUGGCAAAAUCCACCGCUAAGAACGUGCUGAGGCCUGUUUAAAAAGUGCUCACAUGCCAUCCUUGAACUUGUAUUUGACAUCCUGUGUGAGGCCCCGAAAGGGAUAGAGAUGGAAAAACAACUUUUCUACAAAUGUAUGUUCACAUUUUUAUGUAUAUGUGUUAUUCAACAACGUGUCAAGGUCAGCUUUUAGUAAUCAACACAGACGCACAGCAAGCAAAGAAAAAUGCUGGGUAGAAAAUCAUAACGUCGUAACCCACUAAAUUUCCAUCCAGGCGUUAUUCAUGGAAUUUUGUGAGGUCAAACAUGGCAACAGUGUGCGGCGCAGGCUGCAGCCAAGCCGAAUGUUUAUGGAUCAAACUAGAUGGGCCUUCGGAGAGCACUCAUAAUGACUCUGUUAGUCUCCUCCAGAGGAAGCUAUGGUUUGGCCAUCUGGUUCCAGGGUAAGGAUGGAGGCCAGGAUACACUUACAAUGACUAGUGUGGCAGACUGGAGAGUUUGUUUCUACAACAGUAAAAAAGAAGAGAAAACUGCCAAUGGGACAGCUUUGUUACGAAGGGACGUCUGCUGUUUGGAGAAAACUGUCUGUGAGGACAAGAAACUGUAUAAAAAAUCAGAUAUUUCCUGCAGUUUGGAAGAAAUUUAAAAAAAACUGUGAAACUGUACAAGAAAUAUUCAAAACAGGAGCUGAAUUUACCUAUUUAACGUGAGAAUUAUACAUUAAUUGUGUCUACCUUUAAUCCUAACGGGCUGCUUUGAUAUUUGCAAUUAUAAUGUGUAUCACUAUAUAAAUCUGGGCCAUGUACUGUAUAUGAUCCAGAAAACAGUAGCUGACAAUAAAGUAAAACCUUCUCCUUUUUUAAUGUUUUGCAUUUUGCACGUGCUCUGUAUUCACUGUCAUGUUUUCACAGCUUCUAAGCUCAUCAAUAUGUUUUGGGGGAAUCAAAACUUCACUCAACACAUUCAUUCACCUAGUCUGCCCUCUAGCUGUUUUUCACAGAAAUAGCCCG
ensembl:lncRNA